GUCCACGCCGUAAACGUUGGGCACUAGGUGUGGGACCUUAUCAACGGGUUCCGUGCCGUAGCUAACGCAUUAAGUGCCCCGCCUGGGGAGUACGGCCGCAAGGCUAAAACUCAAAGGAAUUGACGGGGGCCCGCACAAGCGGCGGAGCAUGUGGCUUAAUUCGAUGCGACGCGAAGAACCUUACCUGGGCUUGACAUGUAGGGAAAAGCCGUAGAGAUACGGUGUCCUUCGGGUCCGUACACAGGUGGUGCAUGGCUGUCGU
rnacentral:rRNA from 1 species